rnacentral:rRNA from 1 species
CAGGUGUUGCAUGGCUGUCGUCAGCUCGUGUCGUGAGAUGUUCGGUUAAGUCCCGCAACGAGCGCAACCCUUAUCAUUAGUUGCUACGCAAGGGCACUCUAAUGAGACUGCCGUGACAAACCGGAGGAAGUGGGGAUGACGUCAGGUCCUCAUGGCCCUUAUGGGUAGGGCUACACACGUCAUACAAUGGCCGGUACAGAGGGCUGCCAACCCGCGAGGGGGAAGCCCAAUCCCAGAAAACCGGUCGUAGUCCGGAUCGUAGUCUGCAACUCGACUGCGUGAAGUCGGAAUCGCUAGUAAUCGCGGAUCAGCUUGCCGCGGUGAAUACGUUCCCGGGUCUU